rnacentral:rRNA from 1 species
CCUACGGGAGGCAGCAGUGGGGAAUAUUGCACAAUGGGGGAAACCCUGAUGCAGCGACGCCGCGUGAGCGAUGAAGUAUUUCGGUAUGUAAAGCUCUAUCAGCAGGGAAGAAAAUGACGGUACCUGACGAAGAAGCCCCGGCUAACUACGGGCCAGCAGCCGCGGUAAUACGUAGGGGGCAAGCGUUAUCCGGAUUUACUGGGUGGAAAGGGAGCGUAGACGGCGAUGCAAGCCAGAUGUGAAAGCCCGGGGCUCAACCCCGGGACUGCAUUUGGAACUGUAUAGCUAGAGUGUCGGAGAGGCAGGCGGAAUUCCUAGUGUAGCGAUGAAAUGCGUAGAUAUUAGGAGGAACACCAGUGGCGAAGGCGGCCUGCUGGACGAUGACUGACGUUGAGGCUCGAAAGCGUGGGGAGCAAACAGGAUUAGAUACCCGUGUAGUC